UAGAUUAGAUUAAGAUCUUACGUUUCAAGCCUAUGAAUUUGUUCAUUAGUGUGGCGAUGGUAACCCUUCUUCUCGUGACGGUUGUUGGUGUUGGCGUCUACAUCAUUUUCCCGUUCAUCACUUGAGUUGUCAUCGCGAGUAAAAUCCAUAUUUUCUAAAUCCAAAUGAAAGAUGAUAUACAGAAGAUAUGAACAAUCUAAUCGCUAUAUAUUUAUAUAAAAAAUAAUAGAAAAC
rnacentral:sRNA from 1 species